UUGUCUUUGAAUCUUUCAUCUGGCAUUUCUGAGGGGGUCAGCGUUAUGUUGUCCCCAGGGCCAUUUGGAAAGCCUCUACCUGUACAUUACAACCUAUUUGAUGCUGCUAGAGGUUUCAGGCCUUCAUAGGAGCUCCACACCCUGCCAUUCUUCUUCCUUCUCCACACCUGUCAGAGCCCCAAUUUUUGUUUAACUGACAAGACUGAGAGUGUGCUAAACAGCAAGCGAAUGCAUGUGGAGCCAGUGACUAUGAAGUCAGUCUCAUUAAAUUUACUCAGUUUUCCUCAAGUCUUAAAGCAUGAAGCAUUACAAACCUUCAUAUGUACACUAGGGAAAGAAAGGAAGAAAAAAAAGAACUCCAGGGCAAGACCUAAGGAAAAGCCUGUGGAAAGAACACAGCAAGCCAAGGAAACCAGCUGCAGUUCCGGAGAACACAAAGAGAAGCACUCCAAAACAUGUUGCAAAAUGCCUAGUUCCUGAGCCAGAUGCAAGCAGCCUGUGCUAUAUACUAGAGCUAAAAAAAGAAGAAAGUUGAGGGAAAGGGUGACUUUGUACUUAUUUUUCUCCAGUCCCUGGGGCACAAUGAAACAGACCCUUUCAGCUCAAGACUUUUGCUGCCAGGAUUUUAGCAGUGUUUGUCAGACUGCGCUAACCAACCAUGCAUUCAUUAUUCCUCAGGAAUCCCAGUUCUGGAAGCAUUUUCCCCAACCCAUUCAGACCACCAACAUCCAAAUCUCCCUAAGGGGAUGUCAUUUUAUUUUAUUUAGUCAGAGUUGAAUGUCCUGGUUGUAACCCUACGGAUGCAUUGCUUAGAAAUUAGUCAUUCAGAGUUGUAUAAAGGGCCAAACAGUACCAUCCAAACACAUUCUAAAGCAAAAGCCACAUCUGCUGGGUCUUAACACAAAGAAUAUUCUGUCCCUUUAUGCUUAGGGUUCCCUUCUUAGCAUCCAUAUACGUGCUUUUAAAUGCUCUGUCAGACAAGCCCUGGAUGCUGCUCGUGCUCUCAUUUGUAUGAGGGAGUGGAGAGAAAAGGGUAAGGAUUUGGGCAUAAAAGAGGAGAUGUGAAAAUGAGUAGAUCAUCAUGGGCAUAGCUUGAUUGCACACCGUGACCAAAGGGAGGGUGAAUCCCGAAAUCAGAGUAAUCACAAUAAUUGCUCCUUACAUUUACUGAGCAUUUAAUAAAUGCUCUACAAGUUUUAUCUUAUAUAAGCCUCAUAACAACUCUAAGAGGUGGGAACUAUUAUUGUCCUCAUUUUAAGGGUGAGAAUCCUGCGAUUUAAGGGAUUAGGGGAUUUAUCUAAAGUCAUACAACCAGUUUAGUAGCAGCACCAGGACUGAUAUCCAGGCAAUCUGGCUUUGAGCCACACCCUCACUAUUUUUUUUUUAUUUUAUUAUGUAAUACUUGAUGCAUAAAAUGUAUAAAUAAGGCAUAUAUGUUAUAAUGUGUAAUAAUAACAUAAGCCACCAUGCCACUUUGAAGCUCCAUCACUAC
rnacentral:lncRNA from 1 species